rnacentral:rRNA from 1 species
UACAGAGGGGGCAAGCGUUAUUCGGAAUUAUUGGGCGUAAAGGGCGCGUAGGCGGCCUGGCAAGUGGAAGGAGAAAUCCCUCGGCUUAACCGAGGAACUGCCCUCCAAACUGCUUGGCUUGAGUCCGGGAGAGGUGAGUGGAAUUCCCAGUGUAGCGGUGAAAUGCGUAGAUAUUGGGAGGAACACCAGUGGCGAAGGCGGCUCACUGGACCGGAACUGACGCUGAGGCGCGAAAGCGUGGGGAGCAAACAGG